UUGCAUAUCCAGAAAGAGCACAUAAAGCGUUUUUCAAUGGUAAGUACAAAGCUUUAGCUUUGUGCACCUUACAGUAGUUGAAUGGAAAUCUAAUAUAUGCAUUCAUCUUCUAAAUUCAUUACAGCUUAUUUUAGUUGAUGGACUAUUUGUUUCUUUGUUUUGACCAAUAAGACUGAAUAAAUGGCAUUUCCAGAGGACGACAUAUAGCAUCCUUCAUUUCUAGUUUCUAAAUGUCCCUCUUAUAAUUGAUAUAUAAAUAAAGGUACAUGUCAGUGGUCAAUAUCUUCUUCUAACUAUUAAGUGUUUGACUACUACGAACAAUUGCCCAGUUCAGAAAGCUAUGAAGAGCUAGCAUAAAAUGAGAGGAAAAUGCUGGAUCAAAGAAUCAAGGAAGUACUGGGCUGACUAUUCUGAACAGAUGACAUCAAUAACAACAUCUGGGGCCAACAUUUAAGCUGAAAAAAACAACAAAAAAGUGGCUCGGCACCACGGUGGCUCACGCCAGUAAUCUCAGCACUUUAGGAGGCUCAGGUUGGGGGAUCACGAGUUCAGGAGAUAGAGAUUAUCCUGGCUAACUUGGUGAAACCCCAUCUCUAUUAAAAAUACAAAAAAUUAGGUGGGCAUGGUGGCACCCGCCUAUAGUCCCAGCUACUCGGGAGGCUAAGGCAGGAGAAUCAUUUGAACCUGGGAGGCGAAGGUUGCAGUGAGCUGAGAUUCCACCACUGCACUCAAACCUGGGCAACAGAGCAAGACUCCGUCAAAAAAAAAAAAAAAAGGUUAAAAGUAGAAACUACUCAAAGUUAUCUUAUUUUAAAAAAUAAUUACUUAACUUCUACAUCUCUUCUUAAUUAUAAAUCUAUCUUAAUAUUCCAGAAUAGACCACUAUCUUUAUUUCCUGCUCUGCCAACAUGGUUUCAAAAACAAAUCAAGUUGCUUUUCGGCUAUCAUUACCUACAACAGUUUUGCCAGCGCCACUUGGCUGCGGUAAUCGUGAAGAUCCUGAUGAUGCAGUUCCAGGAGAAUUUGACUUUUUAAGUGCGGGUGGCUUAUACUAAAAUAAUGGAAAAAAAAUAUUAAUCAACAUCACUUUUUGAUUAUGGAUUGUAAAGUAGUGGUUCAAAACUUAACAUUCUUUGGGUUUAGGAUUUCAGCCUUACAAGAUGAAAAGAGUUGUGGAAAUGAAUGGUGAUGAUGGUUGCACAUCAUUAAUGUAUUAAAACACUUGUAAGUAUACACUGAAUUGUAUUCUUAAAAACGAUUAAGAUGGUAAAGUUUAUGCUACAUGUAUUAUACCACAGUAAAAAAAUAAUUGGAAAGAAACAGCUCACAUUCCCUUAAAUGAACAGUCUUUUCUACUGAAUUAUACAAAUUGAGGAAGUAUAGAUUAAAAUAUAUCACCUCAAAGGUUUUCCAAACUAGACUCCCUCUCAGAUGCUCCACUGCUAAAACAAACUAACAGCAACUUUUUCAGUUCACAGGAAAAAGAAAAAAAGGUCUAACGGAAAAAACUUCCUCAAAGUUAAGAUUUUAAACACCAAACAAACAUUAGUAGAAAAACUUAGAAACAGCUAUGGUGCAGCUUUAAAGGUCAAGAUUUUUAUAUGUUCCUGGAUGUGUUUUUAUAUUCCAUAUAUAUAAUUCAGCCAUAUUUCCUACUGAUAAAAACCGUAAGAUGACCUAGGACCUGAACAAGUUUUACAACAGCUGCAUUAUGGAUUUCCCUGAUAUGAAGAGAAAGAGCUAAUUCUGGCUUCACGAUCCUCACCAGACCAUCUUAAAUUAAUGGAGUAUGCAUUGACCUAAGAUCUUUCAGCUUAUCUUGGAUUUUUAUAUUUCUCUACUCCUCUAAAGAGACAUCUUUAUUAAUUUUAUUUUACUUUCUCUUUUUGAGCCAAAUUUUGCUCAGUUACCUGACAAUAAAAGUAUCUUACUGAUCACCUGCUUCAAUAGCAAGAAAUGAACUUGCCCAGGGUUAUGCCCCAACUUCACAGCAGAGCAGGAAUUUAGACUC
rnacentral:lncRNA from 1 species